UACGUAGGUGGCAAGCGUUGUCCGGAUUUACUGGGCGUAAAGGGAGCGUAGGCGGAUAUUUAAGUCAGAUGUGAAAUACCCGAGCUUAACUUGGGUGCUGCAUUUGAAACUGGAUAUCUGGAGUGCAGGAGAGGAAAGUGGAAUUCCUAGUGUAGCGGUGAAAUGCGUAGAGAUUAGGAAGAACACCAGUGGCGAAGGCGACUUUCUGGACUGUAACUGACGCUGAGGCUCGAAAGCGUGGGGAGCAAAC
rnacentral:rRNA from 1 species